rnacentral:rRNA from 2 species
AAAUUGAAGAGUUUGAUCAUGGCUCAGAUUGAACGCUGGCGGCAGGCCUAACACAUGCAAGUCGAACGGUAACAGGAAGCAGCUUGCUGCUUCGCUGACGAGUGGCGGACGGGUGAGUAAUGUCUGGGAAACUGCCUGAUGGAGGGGGAUAACUACUGGAAACGGUGGCUAAUACCGCAUAACGUCGCAAGACCAAAGAGGGGGACCUUCGGGCCUCUUGCCAUCAGAUGUGCCCAGAUGGGAUUAGCUUGUUGGUGAGGUAACGGCUCACCAAGGCGACGAUCCCUAGCUGGUCUGAGAGGAUGACCAGCCACACUGGAACUGAGACACGGUCCAGACUCCUACGGGAGGCAGCAGUGGGGAAUAUUGCACAAUGGGCGCAAGCCUGAUGCAGCCA